GCAAUGUAAGUCACUUUGGAUAAAAGUGUCUGAUAAAUGUAAAUGAAAAGGACAGCAUUAGUCAACAGGUUAGCUGAACCAAAAUGAUCAAUAUUAAGGGUUGAAUACAAGUUAUUAUCUGUACACAGAAUCUAUGGGAUGCUGUCUAUUACUACAGGAGAUUACUGUUUUAGAAGAUUUUUUAUAAGUUGUUAUAAUCUUUUAUAAUUUGGAGGCGGAUGACGGCGCCUUAUAUUUCUGUUCAGUAAGUGAAUGCAAAGUAUAUCAAACUCUGGGAGAGUUAUGAGAUUCAAGAACACAAAAUAAAAGAAAAAGAUCAAUAGGGGGCAGUGCGGUUCAACAAAUGUUCACUUUAACUUUGAUGCAAAUCAAAAACAUGCACAGUGUGAGCUGCACAUCAAGUCUGAUCUGUAUCUCUGUUUAGGAAGGAAUCUUAAUCUUUUUUUUUAUGUUUCAUUCAUCAUUUGAGAACCUGUAAAGCUGAGCUGUAUCAACAUCCUAAAAGCACUUGGUAAAAAGACCUAGCAUGAUGAACACUCUCCUUAACAUAUUUGUAUAUCUAAUGAUGAUAACAGUUGCCUGUCUUGGUGGAACUGUUCUCCAGACGCCUGAUGAUCUACUGAAGAAACGAGAUGAAUCUGCUGUGAUCACUUGUACUCACAAGAUACCGAGCUAUGACCGAAUACUGUGGUACAAACAAAGUCAGGACUCAUUGGGCCUAAAGUUGAUGGGAUACCUUAUUGCUGUGUCUAAGAAUAAAGAGCCUGAAUUUGAAAACAAGAUCAACUUGGAAGGAAAUGGAAGAAAUAAAGGCAUUCUGACUCUCAGCAACCUCUCACCGACUGACAGUGCAGUGUAUUUCUGUGCAGCAUAUUACACAGUGCUCAGAGUCACCUCUGUCUGAUACAAAAACCUCUUUUAAACUGCUUAUACUUCAAAAGCGUAUAUUUUAUCAUGUUCAUCUCAACAUCUGUGGGUUUUGAUUCCGUGCCAAUACUAAACACAACACACCUGCACGCUUAAAGUGU